rnacentral:rRNA from 1 species
GUCUGCAACCCGACUCCGUGAAGCCGGAAUCGCUAGUAAUCGCGGAUCAGAAUGCCGCGGUGAAUACGUUCCCGGGCCUUGUACACACCGCCCGUCACACCAUGGGAGUCGGUAACACCCGAAGCCUGUAGUCUAACCGCAAGGAGGACGCAGUCGAAGGUGGGAUUGAUGACUGGGGUGAAGUCGUAACAAGGUACC